rnacentral:rRNA from 1 species
GACGAACGCUGGCGGCGUGCCUAAUACAUGCAAGUAGAACGCUGAAGAGAGGAGCUUGCUCUUCUUGGAUGAGUUGCGAACGGGUGAGUAACGCGUAGGUAACCUGCCUUGUAGCGGGGGAUAACUAUUGGAAACGAUAGCUAAUACCGCAUAACAAUAGGUGGCACAUGUCAUUUAUUUGAAAGGGGCAAUUGCUCCACUACAAGAUGGACCUGCGUUGUAUUAGCUAGUAGGUGAGGUAACGGCUCACCUAGGCGACGAUACAUAGCCGACCUGAGAGGGUGAUCGGCCACACUGGGACUGAGACACGGCCCAGACUCCUACGGGAGGCAGCAGUAGGGAAUCUUCGGCAAUGGGGGCAACCCUGACCGAGCAACGCCGCGUGAGUGAAGAAGGUUUUCGGAUCGUAAAGCUCUGUUGUAAGUCAAGAACGAGUGUGAGAGUGGAAAGUUCACACUGUGACGGUAGCUUACCAGAAAGGGACGGCUAACUACGUG